rnacentral:rRNA from 1 species
GAUGAACGCUGGCGGCGUGCCUAAUACAUGCAAGUCGAGCGAACGGACGAGAAGCUUGCUUUUCUGAUGUUAGCGGCGGACGGGUGAGUAACACGUGGAUAACCUACCUAUAAGACUGGGAUAACUUCGGGAAACCGGAGCUAAUACCGGAUAAUAUUUUGAACCGCAUGGUUCAAAAGUGAAAGACGGUCUUGCUGUCACUUAUAGAUGGAUUCGCGCUGCAUUAGCUAGUUGGUAAGGUAACGGCCUACCAAGGCAACGAUGCAUAGCUGACCUGAGAGGGUGAUCGGCCACACUGGAACUGAGACACGGUCCAGACUCCUACGGGAGGCAGCAGUAGGGAAUCUUCCGCAAUGGGCGAAAGCCUGACCGAGCAACACCGCGUGAGUGAUGAAGGUCUUCGGAUCGUAAAACUCUGUUAUUAGGGAAGAACAUCUGUGUAAGUAACUGUGCACAUCUUGACGGUACCUAAUCAGAAAGCCACGGCUAACUACGUG